UACGAGCGGCCCAAACGUUAUUCGGAUUUACUGGGCUUAAAGAGUUCGUAGGCGGCGCAGAAAGUAGGGUGUGAAAGCCCUCGGCCUAACCGAGGAAUUGCGCUCUAAACUACUGUGCUUGAGGAAUCUAGAGGUGAGCGGAACUGAUGGUGGAGCGGUGAAAUGCGUUGAUAUCAUCAGGAACACCGGAGGCGAAGGCGGCUCACUGGGGAUUUUCUGACGCUGAGGAACGAAAGCCAGGGGAGCAAACGGG
rnacentral:rRNA from 1 species